GACAGAGGGUGCAAACGUUUGUUCGGAAUUACUGGGCGUAAAGCGAGUGUAGGCGGUCUCCUAAGUCGGGUGUGAAAGCCCCGGGCUCAACCCGGGAAGUGCACUCGAAACUGGGAGGCUAGAGUAUCGGAGAGGUUGGUGGAAUUCUCGGUGUAGAGGUGAAAUUCGUAGAUAUCGAGAGGAACACCGGUGGCGAAGGCGGCCAAACUGGACGAAUACUGACGCUGAGACUGAAAGCGCGGGGGAGCAAACAGG
rnacentral:rRNA from 1 species